rnacentral:RNase_P_RNA from 1 species
UAAGUAGAAUAAAUGAUCGCGCCUGCCGCAAGGCNGGUGAGGAAAGUCCGGGCUUCACAGGGCAGGAUGCCGGAUAACGUCCGGUGGAGGCGACUCCAAGGAUAGUGCAACAGAAAAGAAACCGCCGUAGUUUAUGUUUCAUAGCGUACGUAUGAAGUAUAAACCGCGGUAAGGGUGGAAUGGCAGUGUAAGAGACUACCGCUUCUACGGUAACGCAGAAGGCUGUGUAAACCCCAUCCGAAGCAAGACCGGAUAGAGAGCCAUAGGUCUGCCCGGCCUGCUCUCAGGUGGGUCGCUGGAGGUUGUCGGUAACGACAAUCCAAGAUAGAUGAUCAUUCACGACAUAACCCGGCUUAUCGUUCUGCUUAGUAU